rnacentral:rRNA from 1 species
GUUAAAACGCUCGUAGUCGGAUUUCGGGGCGUUCCCGCCGGUCUGCCGAUGGGUACGCACUGGCGGGCGCGUCCUUCCUUCCGGAGACUGUCCCUACUCUUAGCUGAGCGGGGUCGGGAGACGGAUCGUUUACUUCGAAAAAAUCAGAGUGUUUCAAGCAGGCAGCUCGCUCUUGCAUGGAUUAGCAUGGGAUAAUGAAAUAGGACUUUGGUGCUAUUUUGUUGGUUUCGAACACCGAAGUAAUGAUUAACAGGGACAGUCAGGGGCACUCGUAUUCCGCCGAGAGAGGUGAAAUUCUCAGACCAGCGGAAGACGAACCACUGCGAAAGCAUUUGCCAGGGAUGUUUUCACUGAUCAAGAACGAAAAUUAGGGGAUCGAAGACGAUCAGAUACCGUCGUAGUCUUAACCAUAAACCAUGCCGACUAGGGAUUGGAGGAUGUCCUUUUUUGACUCCUUCAGCACCUUACGGGAAACUAAAGUCUUUGGGUUCCGGGGGGAGUAUGGUCGCAAGGCUGAAACUUAAAGGAAUUGACGGAAGGGCACCACCAGGUGUGGAGCCUGCGGCUUAAUUUGACUCAACACGGGGAAACUUACCAGGUCCAGACAUUGUGAGGAUUGACAGAUUGAGAGCUCUUUCUUGAUUCGAUGGGUGGUGGUGCAUGGCCGUUCUUAGUUGGUGGAGUGAUUUGUCUGGUUAAUUCCGUUAA